GUUUCUGUAGUGUAGUGGUUAUCACAUUCGCCUCACACGCGAAAGGUCCCUGGUUCGAAACCGGGCAGAAACA
rnacentral:tRNA from 1 species